ensembl:snoRNA
UGUAUGAUGAUGAAAAAUUUCUUCACUUUGACCUGACAUGCUUGUUUGAAGAAAUUUAAAUAUCUGACA